ensembl:lncRNA
GUGUGUGUGUGUGUGUGAGCGUGUGCGUGUGCGUGUGCGUGUGUGUGUGAUUGUAGCAACUACAGUGACUGGUGUUAAAUUAAAGGCCAUAGAGGCAUAGGCCAUAGAGGAUGAAAUAGAUCAAUAGUGCUCAGUUACGGGUUGAGUGUUGGGAUCAAACACUAAAUAAAACAGUGCUGAAUUAUGUCUUUCUGUCCAGCUUCAUUGUCUACAAUUGGCAUAGCUUUUUGGUUCUGCUGUGUGCAAUUAAUAUGAUGUCAGAAUUACCAUUGACUGUUGUUCCUCAAGCACCUUAUCCAUGGAACCCCCUCAAAGCAGAAACACAUUUACACAAGGAUCAGUUUUAAUUUACAAUGAUAAGAAAUGUCUUUAGGCCUACUGCUAUUAGGAGCCUCAUCAUGUAAGCUGGGCCUGAUGAUUUUUUAAUGUGUCUUUCAUCACAGUGUGCUACGAUGGGGAUGUGGCUGGGCUGGGGACAGUGCUGCUACAGGGACAGGGAGAGGCUGAACUCUGUAACAACAGAUGUAACCUUGGGAACAUCCGAAGAGGAUUCUGGCUGAGAACUGAGACAGGAAUAGGACUAUCCAGGACACCUACAGCCUCUGGUGUUCACAGAAAGGCCCAAGAAGAUCAUCAAGGACCUCAGCCAUCCGAGCCACGGUCUGUUCACCAUGCUACUAGAAGGUGAAGGCAGUACAACUGCAUCAACGCUGGGACCGAGAGACUGAGAAACAGCUUCUAUCUCCAGUCACCACCUAGCCGGCCUCCACUCAGUACCCUGACCUGAAUCUUAGUCACUGUUACUAGCCGGCUACCACCCGGUACUCUACUCUGCACCUUAGAGACUGUUGCCCUAUGUACAUAGUCAUUGAAUACUGGUCACUUUAAUAAUGUUUACAUUACUGUUUUACCCACUUCAUAUGUAUAUACUGUAUUCUAGUUCAUCCUAUAUAACUACUGCUGUCCACUUCAUAUGUAUAUACUGUAUUCUAGUUCAUCCUAUAUAACUACUGCUGUCCACUUCAUAUGUAUAUACUGUAUUCUAGUUCAUCCUAUAUAACUACUACUGUCCACUUCAUAUGUAUAUACUGUAUUCUAGUCAAGGAUCAUCCUAUAUAACUACUGCUGUCUACUUCAUAUGUAUAUACUGUAUUCUAGUUCAUCCUAUAUAACUACUGCUGUCCACUUCAUAUGUAUAUACUGUAUUCUAGUUCAUUCUAUAUAACUACUGCUGUCCACUUCAUAUGUAUAUACUGUAUUCUAGUCAAGGAUCAUCCUAUACAACUACUGCUGUCCACUUCAUAUGUAUCUACUGUAUUGUAGUCAAGGAUCAUCCUAUAUAACUACUGCUGUCUACACCUUUUCUAUUCAUAUAAUGUCGAAAAUGUCUAUACACACCAUUAUAUACAUAGAAAUGUACAUUCCAGACUCUGACAUUGCUCGUUCUGAUGUUUCUUAAUUUCUUUAUUUAGAUUUAGGGUAUUUAUGUAUGUUUGUUUUGUAUUAGCACUGUUGGUGCUAGAAACAUCAGCAUUUCACUGCACCUGCAGAAACAUGUCUACACGACC